rnacentral:rRNA from 1 species
AACAAACGCUGGCGGCGUGCCUAAUACAUGCAAGUCGAACGGGGAAAGCUUUCGGGUGAGUACUAGUGGCGCACGGGUGAGGAACGCGUGGAUAAUCUGCCUUAGAGUGGGGGAUAACUAGUCGAAAGAUUAGCUAAUACCGCAUAAGACCACAGGAGCUGCGGCUCAAGGGGUCAAAGGUUUUUCGCUCUAAGAUGAGUCCGCGUAAGAUUAGCUAGUUGGUGAGGCAACGGCUCACCAAGGCGACGAUCUUUAACUGGUCUGAGAGGAUGAUCAGUCACACUGGAACUGAGAGACGGCCCAGACUCCUACGGGAGGCAGCAGUAGGGAAUAUUGCACAAGGGAGGAAAAUCUGAUGCAGCGACGCCGCGUGAGUGAUGAAGGCCUUCGGGUCGUAAAGCUCUGUCGCAGGGGAAUAACACAAUGAAGGUACCCUGUAAGAAAGGAUCGGCUAACUUCGUGCCAGCAGCCGCGGUAACAC